rnacentral:rRNA from 1 species
AACGAACGUUAGCGGCGCGCCUAAUACAUGCAAGUCGAGCGAGAAAGGGAUUCGUCCCCAGUAAAGCGGCGCACGGGUGAGUAACACGUAGGUCAUCUACCCUCGGGUGGUGGAUAACAUUCCGAAAGGAGUGCUAAUACAGCAUAACACCGCAAGGACAAAGCGGGCCUCUCUAUAGAAGCUCGCGCCUGAGGAUGAGCCUGCGGCCCAUCAGCUAGUUGGCAAUGUAAAAGACUACCAAGGCUAAGACGGGUAGCUGGUCUGAGAGGAUGAACAGCCACACUGGAACUGAGGCACGGUCCAGACUCCUACGGGAGGCAGCAGUAGGGAAUCUUGCGCAAUGGGCGAAAGCCUGACGCAGCGACGCCGCGUGAGUGAUGAAGGCCUUCGGGUUGUAAAGCUCUGUGGGGAGAGAAGAAUAAGUGCAAGCUAAUACUUUGCAUGAUGACGGUAUCUCCUUAGCAAGCACCGGCUAACUCUGUGCCAGCCGCCGCUGUAA